rnacentral:rRNA from 1 species
AGCGGCGGACGGGUGAGUAACGCGUAGGAAUCUACCCAGUAGUGGGGGACAACUCGGGGAAACUCGAGCUAAUACCGCAUACGCCCUAAGGGGGAAAGCAGGGGAUCUUCGGACCUUGCGCUAUCGGAUGAGCCUGCGUCGGAUUAGCUUGUUGGUGAGGUAAUGGCUCACCAAGGCGACGAUCCGUAGCUGGUCUGAGAGGAUGAUCAGCCACACUGGGACUGAGACACGGCCCAGACUCCUACGGGAGGCAGCAGUGGGGAAUAUUGGACAAUGGGGGAAACCCUGAUCCAGCCAUGCCGCGUGUGUGAAGAAGGCUCUAGGGUUGUAAAGCACUUUCAGUAGGGAGGAAAAGUUGAUAGCUAAUAACUGUCAGCCCUGACGUUACCUACAGAAGAAGCACCGGCAAACUCCGUGCCAGCAGCCGCGGUAAUACGGAGGGUGCGAGCGUUAAUCGGAAUUACUGGGCGUAAAGCGCGCGUAGGCGGUUUGAUAAGCUGGAUGUGAAAGCCCCGGGCUCAACCUGGGAACUGCAUCCAGAACUGUCUGACUAGAGUACAGUAGAGGUGAGUGGAAUUUCCUGUGUAGCGGUGAAAUGCGUAGAUAUAGGAAGGACAUCAGUGGCGAAGGCGGCUCACUGGACUGAUACUGACGCUGAGGUGCGAAGGCGUUGGCAGCCAAACAGUAUAGAUUCCUGGGUAGUCAACGCCG